rnacentral:rRNA from 1 species
GAACGCUGGCGGCGUGCCUAAUACAUGCAAGUCGAGCGAACGGACGAGAAGCUUGCUUUUCUGAUGUUAGCGGCGGACGGGUGAGUAACACGUGGAUAACCUACCUAUAAGACUGGGAUAACUUCGGGAAACCGGAGCUAAUACCGGAUAAUAUUUUGAACCGCAUGGUUCAACAGUGAAAGACGGUCUUGCUGUCACUUAUAGAUGGAUCCGCGCUGCAUUAGCUAGUUGGUAAGGUAACGGCUUACCAAGGCAACGAUGCAUAGCCGACCUGAGAGGGUGAUCGGCCACACUGGAACUGAGACACGGUCCAGACUCCUACGGGAGGCAGCAGUAGGGAAUCUUCCGCAAUGGGCGAAAGCCUGACGGAGCAACGCCGCGUGAGUGAUGAAGGUCUUCGGAUCGUAAAACUCUGUUAUUAGGGAAGAACAUAUGUGUAAGUAACUGUGCACAUUUUGACGGUACCUAAUCAGAAAGCCACGGCUAACUACGUG